rnacentral:rRNA from 1 species
ACGGGUGAGUAAUGCAUCGGGACCUACCCAGACGUGGGGGAUAACCUCGGGAAACCGGGACUAAUACCGCAUACGUCCAAUGGGAGAAAGCGGGGGACCUUCGGGCCUCGCGCGGCUGGACGGACCGAUGUGCGAUUAGCUAGUUGGUAGGGUAAUGGCCUACCAAGGCGACGAUCGCUAGCUGGUCUGAGAGGAUGAUCAGCCACACUGGGACUGAGACACGGCCCAGACUCCUACGGGAGGCAGCAGUGGGGAAUAUUGGACAAUGGGCGCAAGCCUGAUCCAGCAAUGCCGCGUGUGUGAAGAAGGCCUUCGGGUUGUAAAGCACUUUUAUCAGGAACGAAAUACCACGGGUUAAUAACCUAUGGGGCUGACGGUACCUGAGGAAUAAGCACCGGCUAACUUCGUGCCAGCAGCCGCGGUAAUACGAAGGGUGCAAGCGUUAAUCGGAAUUACUGGGCGUAAAGGGUGCGUAGGCGGUUGUUUAAGUCUGUCGUGAAAUCCCCGGGCUCAACCUGGGAAUGGCGAUGGAUACUGGGCAGCUAGAGUGUGUCAGAGGAUGGUGGAAUUCCCGG